AACGAACGCUGGCGGCAGGCCUAACACAUGCAAGUCGAGCGGACCCUUCGGGGUUAGCGGCGGACGGGUGAGUAACGCGUGGGAAUAUGCCCUUCUCUACGGAAUAGUCCUGGGAAACUGGGGGUAAUACCGUAUACGCCCUUUGGGGGAAAGAUUUAUCGGGGAAGGAUUAGCCCGCGUUGGAUUAGGUAGUUGGUGGGGUAAUGGCCUACCAAGCCGACGAUCCAUAGCUGGUUUGAGAGGAUGAUCAGCCACACUGGGACUGAGACACGGCCCAGACUCCUACGGGAGGCAGCAGUGGGGAAUCUUAGACAAUGGGGGCAACCCUGAUCUAGCCAUGCCACGUGAGUGAUGAAGGCCUUAGGGUUGUAAAGCUCUUUCAGCUGGGAAGAUAAUGACGGUACCAGCAGAAGAAGCCCCGGCUAACUCCGUG
rnacentral:rRNA from 1 species